rnacentral:rRNA from 1 species
UACGUAGGGUGCAAGCGUUGUCCGGAAUUAUUGGGCGUAAAGAGCUCGUAGGCGGUUUGUUGCGUCGGCUGUGAAAUCCCGAGGCUCAACCUCGGGUCUGCAGUCGAUACGAGCAAACUAGAGUGUUGCAGGGGAGACUGGAAUUCCUGGUGUAGCGGUGAAAUGCGCAGAUAUCAGGAGGAGCACCGGUGGCGAAGGCGGGUCUCUGGGCAACAACUGACGCUCAUGCACGAAAGCGUGGGGAUCAAACAGG